rnacentral:rRNA from 1 species
GAUGAACGCUAGCGGCAGGCCUAACACAUGCAAGUCGAGGGAGAGGUUACCUUCGGGUAACCAACACCGGCGCACGGGUGCGUAACGCGUAUACAAUCUGCCUUUCACAUAGGGAUAGCCCGAAGAAAUUUGGAUUAAUACCUAAUGGUAUAUAAGAGCGGCAUCGUUUUUAUAUUAAAGCUACGGUGGUGAAAGAUGAGUAUGCGUUCUAUUAGCUAGUUGGAGAGGUAACGGCUCCCCAAGGCGACGAUAGAUAGGGGUUCUGAGAGGGAUGUCCCCCACACUGGAACGGGGAUCCGGACCAGACUCCUACGGGAGGCAGCAGUGGGGAAUAUUGGACAAUGGUCGAAGACUGAUCCAGCCAUGCCGCGUGCAGGAUGAAGGUCCUAUGGAUUGUAAACUGCUUUUGUAAGGGAAGAAUAAGGAGUACGUGUACUUUGAUGACGGUACCUUACGAAUAAGCAUCGGCUAACUCCGUG